rnacentral:rRNA from 1 species
CAGUAGCCACGGUAAUACGGAGGGUGCAAGCGUUAUCCGGAUUUAUUGGGUUUAAAGGGUCCGUAGGCGGAUCUGUAAGUCAGUGGUGAAAUCUCACAGCUUAACUGUGAAACUGCCAUUGAUACUGCAGGUCUUGAGUAAAUUUGAAGUGGCUGGAAUAAGUAGUGUAGCGGUGAAAUGCAUAGAUAUUACUUAGAACACCAAUUGCGAAGGCAGGUCACUAAGAUUUAACUGACGCUGAUGGACGAAAGCGUGGGGAGCGAACAGGAUUAGAUACCCGCGUAGUCCCUGUCUCUUAUAA